UGGCCUUUCCCUUUGAUCGACGCUAACGCCACCGCAGUUUACCGCAACACCUCGUCGCGGACGGAUCGAUGAGUUAAAAUUUUCCGUUAUUUUAUCAAUAUUUUACCGACAGUCGUAUAUCGUAUAUCGGUAAAGUAGAAAAUUAAUUUACGAACAAUCAAUUAAUCCGUACUGUUUCACAAAGUAAUCGUUCAGUCGAUAAAUAAAAUCUUGUUAUUAUAUCUAAUAAAACAAUAAUGCGCGUAUUCAUUUUACGUAAUCAAUUGGUGUAAUAAUAGUGUUGAUUAUUAACAAAAAAAUUAAUCGGGAUUUAUCUGCUGUAAGUAAUCAGAAGUUAGUAACGAAUGAAGUUGCAGCAGCGCAUGCUCCAGGACAGACACGACAACGUUGUAAGCACUCGAGACUACGAAUGUGGCAACGUUGGUAUGGUUGUUCGAACGAAGUGCAAAACUAAGAGAGAGAGAGAGACGGAGAGAGAGAGAGAGACGGAGAGAGAGAGAGAGACAGAGAGAGAGAGAGAGAGAGAGAGAAAUAUAUAAUCCAGAGUGUGUAAAGUGGUGUGGUGGUGUGGUGGUAGUAGUUAAAGCACAGAAGGAGGAACGGUAGUAGAACUGAAAUCGGGGAAGUCUUUGUGUGUUUCGCCGAGACGGUGGUGAUGCGUCGUCGUCGUCGUUGUUUGCCGUCGUGCGCCGUGUCAGCUCUCAACGAGGGUCACGGAAUAAGAAGAGUAGUAUAGUAGUAGAAGCCAAGCACGCCGGUGACCGUAAACGUCACCGUCUGCGCCAAAACCGCUAAGGCGGUACGUGCCUAAUCAAACGGGGCAGUGUGUGGUGCUGUGGGGUAAGGGAUGACGACGGCCGGGGGACGAUAAUAGGGGUGCCGACUUGAGGACAGAAAUGUUGAAGUUCGGUAGCAAGAGCGACGUUACCGUGGUGCACCGCGCCACUAUUCGACUUUUGGACGAUUCCGAGAUUAUCCAUUGCGACUUUGAGCCUCAACACAAAGGAAUGUACAUUCUCGAAUAUGUGUGUAAGCAACUCAACAUUUUGGAAACGGACUAUUUCGGACUUCGUUACGUUGAUCAUUGUAGACAAAGAGUGAGUAUUAAUUAUUAUAGCAAAAA
rnacentral:lncRNA from 1 species